GACGAACGCUGGCGGCGUGCUUAACACAUGCAGGUCGAACGGAAAGGCCCUGCUUUUGUGGGGUGCUCGAGUGGCGAACGGGUGAGUAACACGUGAGUAACCUGCCCUUGACUUUGGGAUAACUUCAGGAAACUGGGGCUAAUACCGGAUAGGAGCUCCUGCUGCAUGGUGGGGGUUGGAAAGUUUCGGCGGUUGGGGAUGGACUCGCGGCUUAUCAGCUUGUUGGUGGGGUAGUGGCUUACCAAGGCUUUGACGGGUAGCCGGCCUGAGAGGGUGACCGGCCACAUUGGGACUGAGAUACGGCCCAGACUCCUACGGGAGGCCGCAGUGGGGAAUAUUGCACAAUGGGCGGAAGCCUGAUGCAGCAACGCCGCGUGCGGGAUGACGGCCUUCGGGUUGUAAACCGCUUUCGCCUGUGACGAAGCGUGAGUGACGGUAAUGGGUAAAGAAGCACCGGCUAACUACGUG
rnacentral:rRNA from 1 species